rnacentral:lncRNA from 1 species
UCGAACACUGCUGUCGGGGAUUCAGAUCUCUGGUCAUCUGCGAUUCUGGAUGUCGCGAUACCAGCCGAUCAAUCUGCCACCCCCGGGAUUCCAGGCUAUCCUGAGGAUUUACUUCAAGCACUUCUCCGAGCUGCCAAUUCCGGAGAUAAUAAGCGAAGUGCUUCUGAGAUUCGAGGUGUCGUUGUCGCAGCUCCCGGCGGGAUUCUUUGUGAUCCUGCGGGGUUU